rnacentral:rRNA from 1 species
AUUACCGCGGCUGCUGGCACGGAGUUAGCAGAUGCUUAUUCCCAGGGUACCGGCAAACCGCUACUCGUAUCGGGUUUUCUUCCCCUGGAAAAGCAGUUUACAACGCAUAGCGCCGUCUUCCUGCACGCGGGAUGGCUGGUUCAGGCUUGCGCCCAUUGACCAAUAUUCCUCACUGCUGCCUCCCGUAGG